UCACAGAAUGUGGAAAAAUAAAAAAACAACAUUGAAUAGUCACAGUCAAAUCUGCAGCGGAUGUUAUCUCCUUCUGGUCUGUAAAUUUCUUUUAAAGCUCAGAACACGACAGACCAUGGAUGAUGGCAUUCUUUCAGAUUUAAGAAGAUAAAUGGACAUGAAUCGUAUAUCAUGUAUGGAGGAAGAAAGUACAGUUUGAAAUACGUGAAUAAUAGGUUAUUCCUUCCUUGAAACAGCAGCUCCGAAUGAACAUUAAAAAGGAAAAAAAACCUAGACUCGCUUCAUUCCGAAAAACAACCAGGUAUCGACCAGAAACCCUACACAAAACAAAAAAACAAAAACCUGCAUAAAUGCAUGCAAAGAUUAUAAAAAAAUGGCAAGCUUGCCGUCUGAGUUUCUUGCCCUGGUGGUGCGUCGAACGAAAGGAAGAAGUGAGGCUGACCAAGCAUGACCUAGCCUAGAUUGAAUCCAUUAAACUGAGAGAAAUCAAUCCAAUCUAGAUCAUGCUGGCAGCUUCACUCUUUCCCGUCGACACUAUUAUUGUUAACCAACAAUUCCAGCACUGAUAAAAAAAGAUCAAAGAGAAAAGGAAAAGAUAAGUGCAGCAUGUAAUAUCCAUAAGCAAGAAGCAUGCUUGUUCUGCAUGUAAUGGAGAGCUAUUUAUAGAAAGAAGAGGAACAAGAAAUACCCAGGAUCCAAUGAACAGAAGAUGUUACACAAAAGUAGAUCCAAUGGACAGAAUCUCUUGAAAUGGACAAAAUACAGC
rnacentral:lncRNA from 1 species